rnacentral:rRNA from 1 species
AGGGGCACGAACCGGAUUAGAUACCCGGGUAGUCCUAGCCGUAAACGAUACUCGCUAGGUGUCGGCCACGGUGCGACCGUGGUCAGUGCCGUAGGGAAGCCGUGAAGCGAGCCACCUGGGAAGUACGGCCGCAAGGUUGAAACUUAAAGGAAUUGGCGGGGGAGCACUACAACGGGUGGAGCCUGCGGUUUAAUUGGAUUCAACGCCGGAAAUCUCACCGGGGGCGACAGCAUGAUGAAGGCCAGGCUGAAGACCUUGCCUGAUCCGCUGAGAGGUGGUGCAUGGCCGUCGUCAGUUCGUACUGUGAAGCAUCCUGUUAAGUCAGGCAACGAGCGAGACCCACGCCCACAGUUGCCAGCGAGCCCUUCGGGGUGGCGGGUACUCUGUGGGGACCGCCGCUGCUAAAGCGGAGGAAGGAAUGGGCAACGGUAGGUCAGUAUGCCCCGAAUCUCCCGGGCUACACGCGGGCUACAAUGGUCGGUACAAUGGGUAUCUACCCCGAGAGGGGAUGGAAAUCUCCUAAAACCGGUCGUAGUUCGGAUUGAGGGCUGCAACUCGCCCUCAUGAAGCUGGAAUCCGUAGUAAUCGCGUUUCAACAGAACGCGGUGAAUACGUCCCUGCUCCUUGCACACACCGCCCGUCAAACCACCCGAGUAGGGUCUGGAUAAGGGUGCGCCAUGUUGACGCAUUCGAAUCUGGGCUUUGCAAGGGGGGUUAAGUCGUAACAAGGUAACCAAGGGCGAAU